rnacentral:lncRNA from 1 species
CUGCUUAGAUGUAUGGCACAGUCCAGUGUCAGACUAACAACCUGAAAGGGAUUUUGGCUUUCUUUAGUGGUUAGCGAGGUGGUCAGGGGAGCAAUGGUGGGCUCUCUCUAACCAUCUAAUACCCAGUACUGGGCCUCUAGUCCAUCACAGACACCUUAUCCUGGUCUCACACAUCUUGGACACACUGGACAUUACCGACACCGGCCCGGUCUGGCUCUGGUAGCCACAGACCGUAGCAGUGUAGAUGGCCGCAGCACCGAGGUCAAUGUCCCCUUACCGACGCCCAUACAGCCACAUGCCACACUCCAGCAUGCAGACAUCCAGUCCCAGGCUGCCGACUGAUUUAAUUGGGCUGCAUUUUAUGUGUAGGACGAGCCAACAGAACAUCUGACCAUGAAGCUUGCCAGGCUGUGGAUCCUACAGGUCUGCAAUCACAGAAAAAUCAUAUAAUUCUCCAUCCAUAUAAAGGUCAACAAAUGGGCUAGAGAGAUUGUUACAGAGGGGAUGGCGUAAACUGGAGAGAGACAACUAAGAGGACACUCGUCUAAAGACGCAGGCAGGCACAGCCCUCUCCAUCACUGGUGCCCCUGACAACACAGGAAAUGGAUCCCACCCGGUGGCAGGCUCAGCCUUCACACUAUUUAGCACCACAAUUAUCCCCCAUUCAUUCACAGGCUGGAUGAACCAUAUAAGGCCAACUGUGAUUCAGCGAUGAUCAGCGCAAUGUGAAACCACGGGUCUGGCCUAGCAAUUUGAUGUAAUUGUGCUGCUGUGAUCUUCUGUAGUAGGGGACAUACUGGGAUCUGCUAACGCACUAGAGGAAAGAAUGGAGGGAGGAAAUGGAAGAAGAAGCUCAAUAAACAGAUUUAGAAAUCUGGGUUCAUUAAUAUGUAUUCAUGAUGUACUGACAGCCUGAACGACAUGCAGGCUCUGUAUCACAGAGAAACUGAGUCUUCAUACUGGGUAUGUUGUAUCAAAGUUUAAUGACCAUAAAACACUUCCACGAGUCAGUAAAGUCAGUCAGUAAAGUCUAACACUGGAUUGAAGGCAACAAUGUCAAAAAGGUAUUCAUUUUAAUAACAUAUUCUCGUAUAUUUAACUUCUAUUGUCCUUCAAGAGUGGCCGCAUUUUUUUUAUAUUGCAUGUCCAGUUUUUCAUUGGUAGGACUGUGAGGUAGAGACACAUCGUACAUUAUUAUGAAGGAGUUAGUGAAAUGGAAGUCUUUUGUGAUUAGUCAGAAACAUGUCAGAUUAAUUAUCAUAACUGUUAAUAUGGUGUCAUAUAUGCCCCAAUUACUUAAUGACCUAAUAAACAGUAUCAUAAAUAACAGUAUGUUGUCGAUAUGUUCAUUUGAACCAGUAAUGAAGUCAAGUGAGUAAUGUUGUAUAUGUACUGUAUGUUCAAAUCAGGAAAACAGUCAUCUACAAGCCUUAAUUGAUCAGGUCAACUUCACAUCCAUAAAUCCCUGAAAACAAACAUUUUUCCAACAUGAAGCUUUUGACAAACAGAUUACACAUUUAACACAUCAUAACCAAGUUUAGGAGGGCUCAGGAUCAUGAUUCAGCGGGCAUUAUGAAAUCCAAAACAGAUCCCCUCAUCAAAUGGCUCUGUGAGCCCUGUGGUGGUCUGAUGGGGUUGACCCCUGGCCCUCUCCCUGUGGGGGGCAGCUGAGGAGGGGGCGCGGGAGAUCACACGAAGGCCCUGUUCUGGCUCCAUGUCCAAACAGCCUGGUCUGUUCAGGAGGAGGGUGGAGGGGUGGAAGUGUACCCCCUCAUCCUAAAGAGUGCACCAGGUGGCAAGGACGUGGGCAGGGGGCUUUUGAUGCUGACCCCUGGUCCCUGGGAUGGGAUGGCUCUAGUCAUUGAUCCAGCCAGAGGAGGGAGGGGAGCCAGGUGCCCCUGGUGGGGAUGGGGAUCAGCUGCUACGGUCUGGGUAUGGAGGAGAGGAGUCUGGGCCCACACUGGUCCCAGUCAUGCCAGUAGUCACAGCCCCAGUGUUGACUGGCUGUGAUGUUGUAGACAGGGUGCGGUCUAACACU